AAAAUCCGUCGACUUUUAAAAUCGUGAGGGUUCAAGUCCCUCUAUC
rnacentral:tRNA from 1 species